rnacentral:ncRNA from 1 species
AAUAACAUAAAUAUCGUUACUCGUAUAUCCUCGGUAAUAUGGUCUGAGUGUCUCUACCUGGUUCCCAUUGAAAGAACUAGACUACGAGUUAAAGUGUCUGGCUA